UUAUUACAUAUUUAAUUAUAAUCUAUAGUAUAUAUAAAUUAUUAUAUAACAUAACAUAUAAAAUAUACUUAUACUAUACAAUAAGAUAAAUUUAAAAUUAUAUAUAUAAUAUGUCACCUCCUUAAAGGGCCAUCCCUGACCCGGGGUCUGUCACAUCAUAGACACUUAAGAACUAGGUAUCAGGUGAACCAAUUCUUCUAUCCCACAUUGCCUCAGCAAGGCAUCUCACAGUGAGGACAGAAAGGUGAAAGGCAUGAUUUGAACAUCCUAAGUCUUUACCUCAGCCAUACCAGGGCUUUAGACCCCAGUGUCGGUUCAAGCCUAGUUUGAGCACCCACAAAAAGCUGCAGGCAUGUGGGUGGUCUAAGUGUGUGCUGCUGUCCAGAGAACAUGGGCUUAUUUGAAAGCAUUUAGACUAACCCCCAUCUACCCACCAUGCACUUCCAGAAAUCAAGGAAGGGAUGCUGGGGCAUCAGAAGUCCCAACCACCCACUUGUAGGGAGUCCAGGUCUCAGGAGCCUGGGCAUCCUAUUAAUGACAUCUUCGUGUGGCUGUUCAGGUUGACCAUGAUCCUUUGCUCUCAGUGCUAGUAAACAUAUCCGUAUUUCUUCCGCUUUUGCAUCCUGAAAGAGUGAUUUAGGCUCAGCCUACACUUCUGAAGUUGACUUAGACAGACAAGGGCCCCCAAAGCCUUAAACAUUCCUUCCGGGGAAUAGGCAUUAGCACAGCUGGCCCUCACAGCAGCACAUGUGGGCUGGAAGCCAGAUCAUCAGCCAGCUGUUGGCGGCUGUUUCUGGGCCUGUGCCUGGUCUUAAUCGAGGGCAGGGUGGUGCUCCGGAGCACGGGGCGAUGCUCACCCGGAUGUUGUCCUGGUGCGUUCUGCCAGCAUCCCUUGAUCAUUCAAGGUUCCUAAUCCCUCUGAAGACUUGGGGGGAAGCACAUAGGCCAGCCAAGAUAGUUAUUCAGGCAAAGGUGACCAAGCCAGAAGCACUUCAGGCCAACGGUGGCUCGUCGUGGUCCUUGGUGGUAAAUGGGCGAGCAGCUUCAAUGGCGCCUUCACAGUGGACUUGGUGAGAAUGUCUGAUUUCAUGGUCUGGCAACCCAGGAAGUUGUUUGAGCUCUCUCUGGUCCUCACCAUCGUGCUCUGGAAAGUGGUUGUGAAGAAUAGACAACCCUUCCCCCCUGCCCGCUGCAGAAUCGACAUGAAAACCUCAGCCUGUGCCGAAACUUAAGAAAUUUAACUGGCUAGAGUCUCCUUUCUAGGCCGUGUGAGCCACAAUGGGCAGUGCCCAGAACAGUAGUGUUUGGUCUCAGCCUUUUGAAGUCACCAGGCACGGGGGGAUGUUGCUGACCUAAUAGGAGACUCCACAAAAGACAUCACCCGGUUCAUUUCCACAGCGUCCUACUCAACCAGCAGCACCCAGGCCUUGAAGACAGUUGCAGACUCCCGCCCUCUGUGCUCCAGGGUGCUCACCUAAGAUCCUAACAGAUCCAGGCCUCACAGCGGGUUCACAGGAGUCUUGCUUUUGAUCUUCCCUGUGUAAAGGAGGACCCUAGACACAGGCAGGUAGACAGACAUCCCGUGCUGUCUCCACGACCAGAUCUGCUGACGACGGUCUUUCUGGGUCUUAACUGUGUAGAGCCUCUUUUGACCUGCUCUAGGAAAUCACUCCUCAUACCCCAGCAAGGAGCUUCGGGACCCUGAAUGGAUGCCUCUGUGAACAGAUCUAUGGGUCCUGCUGAUGCAGCUAUGGUUUCCCCUCCCUGGGCUCUCCCAGGCAACCUGUGGCAACGUUGCUUUCUCUGCAAUUUAAAGGUGCUUGUUUGUUCCCUCAAAGACUAUUGUCAUUCUAAACUUGGCCCCUGGGCCAAUUUCCUGAGAGCAGAGAAUCCUGAUUGGCCAUCCCUGGGAGCCAUUCCGGAUGGAAGAGCCGGCUGUUGCCAUGGAGUCUGCCUUAGCUCCUCUGAGCCUGGGCCCAGCCGGUUUGAGCCAGAUAAGCAUCAGGUCAUGCCUGGCUGCUGUUGAUGUUGUCAGGGGAUGGCCAGUCCCCAAGAGACUCUGGGACAGCCAGUGUGUGUGUAGAGUGGGGUGAGAGGGCGGUAGGGGCAAGGGUCCAACAGAUGGACCAUAGCCUCUGUUCUCAAGGCUAACCUCUGGUCGCGAGAGUCCCUGCCUGCCUGUGUCCUCCCCAGUGUUAGACAUGGCGCCUGGCUUUCAGUGCAGUCUCCGUGGCUCCAUACCGGAUACUUAGCGCCUAGCACAGCGGCUGUGAUGAGGGAGUAAGAAACGUCCCAGGGCUUGUCGUCUGGAGCUUCCUCCUUGGUCGGGGAGGAAACGGCUCACUGACGCCAGGAGAAUUACCUAGUGCUUGCUGGCCUGAACUGAAAAAUGUAUUAGAGCUGAGAUCCCAAUGGAUGUGUGUUAACCGGAGGAGAAGAAAGAAGCAGCCUCCUCCCCCAGAGGAAAGCACGUGCAAAGGCCCUGUGGUCUGAUGCAUGGAUGGGCAGCAAGAAACAGCAUGGAGCGCACUGAGGAGCCUGGCUUUACUCGAGAGCAUCGUCAGAAAACUUCUAAGCAGAAAGAUGAUCAUGUGGCCACCAAGGGAAGAAACGGAGGAACAGAAGGUCAGAGUAGGAGGCCACAGUCCACCUCAAGGCAGGAGGUAAACGGAUGCAUGAUGCAAGUUACCGUCCGCUGGUAUUCUAAACAACGGUGCCACCAAGAGAAAUGGAAGCUCCAAGAAGAUCACCUGUACACCACACAACACACUCAUGAAUUAACAACAACAACAACAACAACGUUCUAUGUGCAUCAUCUGGGCUCUCCUUCUCCAUCCAGAGACUCUGGGAUGCAGAAGUCGGCCAGGUAAAUAUUGCCACUAUCUCUCACAUAACCUCUAGGGCCACAGAGGUGAGGAAGAAAGUGCUUAAAAGGAUCACAUAUGGUCCCUUACUGGCUCUGACAUGGUUUCUCCAGAAAUAAUACCGGUCACCUCCAUUCCCGUGUCAUUGGUUCAAGGUGGCCAUGGACUUAAGGAGUGCACGUGUACCACCAGGUAACUCCCAAAUGUCUCGGACACAUUGUAACAUUAACAUAGCCCUCACUGUCUACAUACUUCUCCCAACACUUGGCAGGGAUGAUCCCAUUUUACGGGGUGGGAUAAAGUCAUUACCAGUCACCGUAUAGGUGACAAACAGAACCAGGUGGGGUAACUUCCAGCAACUCACAGCUCAACCACCAUUUGGGGCCAGGAUGGAAGCCAGGAACCUCUAUAUGGUCUGCCUCCAUCACGAAUCUCUCCUGGAGGCAUUUCUGCAAAAUUACAGACAACGUUAAGUGGCCCACCCAACAGGCUGUGUCUGACACACCGCUUCCUCACGAAGAGCAGCUCCUUCUAUUCUUCUUGCUGGCUACCUCAAACCUUUUCUGAGUCAAGGCAGAGUAUAAAUAGUCGAUGAUGUGAUAAAGAUUUAUUAAAAGGGAACUCUUUUGUCCUGGCAUCUGGGGUUGCAAUGGGAUGCUUCAAUAGAACCUUGCUGAGAAGUUUGGAGUAAUUACCCUCCUACCAAAGUAUUUCAGCAAGCCACGCCCAUUUUUCUUACCCUGGAAUGGCACGAAAGCAAUGUCUACAUGUUAAUUACCCGCCUGCCGUGUCUCAUUACGGGUAUCUGUGAGGCUGCUUCGAGCAAAGUCUAAGGACCUAACAGUAUUUAUUUUGUGUUUGUUUUAAUUAAACAUUAGCGUUAGUCUUGACUGGUUUCAUAGGAUAGUUUAAAAAAAAAAAACCACUACCGUGCUGUAAAGUGGUUUGUUGACUUUGUAUAGCUAAAACCAUUUCGGGCCUCACAGUGACUCACCUGUCCCCCCUGCCUUCAUGGAGUCAGGGGUCACUCUCCUGCUUCCUAGAGAGCUCGGUGGCCUGAGGAGUGGGCCAGCAGGAGCCAGCCCCGAUCCAAGGACAGGCACUGCCUUGGAAUCUCACCAAGGGCACAGAUCAGUGAAGGGUGUCAUUGAGCUUGGAGAAGGAUUGGAACAGUUAAUGGUGUGCACAGACCUGUGUAAUUAUGGUGCACAGCCAUUUCUCCUCGCUGUGGAGAUGGGAGAUGGCACCUUGACACUUGGGAAGUAUCUCCUUUUGAAAGUUGGAAACUGAGGGUUUUUUUAUCUUAAAAAAGAUUUAUACUCUCUCUCUCUCUCUCUCUCUCACACACACACACACACACACACACACUUUCUCCCUCCCUCUCUCUGUGUCUCUACGUGUGUGUGUCUCUGUGUAUGUGUGAGUGUGUGUGUAAGUGUGUGUGUCUGUGUGUCUGUGUGUGUGAGUGUGUGAGUGUGUGAGUGUGUGUGAGUGUGUGUGAGUGUGUGUGAAUGUGGGUGAGUGUGUGUGUAUGUGUGAGUGUGUGUGUCUGUAUGUGUGUGUGAGUGUGAGUGUGUGUGAAUGUGUGUGUGUGAGUAUGUGUGAGUGUGUGUGAGUGUGUGUGAAUGUGGGUUAGUGUGUGUAUGUGUGAGUGUGUGUGUGUGUGUGUGUGUGUGUGUGUGUGUGUGUGUGUGUGUGUGUGAGACCAAAGAGGCAGAAGAGGACAUCAGAUACCCCCAGAGCUGGAGUCACAGGUUACUGUGAGCUGCUCACUGUGAUUGCUGGGAAUUGAAUUCCAGUCUACUGCAAAAGCAGCAAGGGGCUCUUAAUCACUGAGUCAUCUCUCCAGUCUCCCCCUUUUAAUUUCUUACCUUCCUUCUCCCCCACUCUCUUCCUUUUCCUCUUCCUCUUCCUCUCCCUCUCUCCCUCUCUCCUCUCUUUCCCUCUCUCUUCCUGCCCCCUCUCCUUCUCUCUCUUCCUCCCUUCCUCUGUCUCUCCCUGCAUCCUGGGUAUGGAAUCCAGAGCCUCUGUCUCUCACACAAGAGGAUUCGCUCUUAGGAAUCACUGAACUGCUGGCAUAGGUGUUAAGCUCUGUGGUGAACCAAGAUAGGACAGCAAGAGACACCAUCCCACCCCCACCACACAGAUAGCAAAGUGACCAGAGCUUUGAAGGUGUUAAACAAAUGUGGCCAGGAAACUACAGAAGGAGCAAAUGACAGAAUCGGUGAAUCAUGGGGGUGGGUGCCUCACAAUACAAUUGGACCAGUCAGAACCUGCAGGUAUUUACAGCUUCUGAGAGAGAAGCAGGUCAAAUUAGGGAAUGUCAGAGCUCAGUACUGCUUACCGCUCAACGAACUGCAUUCUGGAAGGUAUUGGAUACAAUUUUAGCAGGUCUUACAAUAACAACAAAAACAACAAAAGUAUUACGAAAGAUAACAAGCACUUUACCGUUAUAAUUAUGUAAAGGUAUUUAUGUAAGGCCAGUACUAAGAUGGAAAUAUACAAAGUAGUCCUUUUAUAGUAAGGUUAUAAAUUAAUUUUCAUGAUUUUUUUUCCAACAUAGCAUUGCCUCCAGUUUAAAGAGAAGAACAAAAUCUGCAGUAGCUGUCAGGUCUAUUUUUCUGUUGCUAUGAUUAAAUACCUUAAUAAAAGCAAUGUAAGGGGGAAAGGGUUAAUUCGGCUCACAGUUACAGGUUACAGCCCAUCACCACGGAGAAGUGAGGGUAGCAAGAACUUGAAGCAGCCAAUCAUAUCCCAUUCGCAGUCAAGAUCAGAGAGCAAUGGAUUAAAGCACACAUUCUAGUGUUCUGCCUGCUUUCUCCAAUUAGAGAAACAGUUCAGGAUCUUCUGCCUAGGGAAUGGUGGCACCCACAGUGGGCAGCUCUUCUCAUCUCAAUUAACACAACGUCAAGGUAAUUCCUUAUAAACCAUUCUAGUCUAGAAGAUCCUUCAUAGAGACUCCCUUGCCAAGUGACUGUAUAUUGUGUCAAGUUAACAAUUAAAAUGGUCCCAAUAGCCAAAAACAUUCCAAUUUUUAAAAUCAACUGAGAAAGCAUCAAUGAUUCAGAAAGGACUCUUUAAAAUAGUUCAACCAUCCACACAUUUCACAGAACUUGUGGCCUUUGGAAAAGGAUAAUGCAGGAGAAAAAUAUUUUUAGGGAGAUUCAGAAAGCUGCUCAGAAAUCAUCCUAUCUCAGUCACUAAAGAUUUGCUAUUGAUAUUUUUCAAACAUCAGAGCAAAACAAACUCUCAAUUCAAGAAGAAAAGUUCGCUCUUUAUUAUACAAACGCCACAACCCAAGCAAGCUCUCUUCUGUUUCUCACACUUGAGGUGUUUCCCAUAUGUACCCCCAAAAACCUCACGUAGCUUUAGUUAUAUUUUAUUAUAUAAUAACCAUUCCCCUCAACACCACUCUAAGGACACUAAAACAAUGAUUUCAGUUAUUCAAAGAAGGGCUUACUGACCAUGUGUUAAACACCGUGGUUCUGGAACAUGUAUUGGUGUGCACUGACCUUCUCUUUUUAAAAUUGUAUUGAGGGUCUUGGGAGAUGGCUCAGUUGGGAAACGUGCCGAGCAAGUGUAAGGACUUGAGUUUUAUCCCUAAAUAUGAGUUAAAACGCCAGCGUGCAUCUACACGCACACGCACAUGAGACUAUAGCUAAGGGGAGGCUGUGCUGGUCCUGUCAUGUGUGAGCUUGAGCAGAGAUGAGGAAAAGAGAUGCUCGCAGGUAACUUGGACUGCCAGUAAUUGAGGACUCUAGCAGGGACUCUGAGGUCUCUCUGAGCCAGCCCAGUCUGCAUCAGAGUCCUCUGUGCCGCCAUUUCCGCGUGCUGGUAAGGUUGUGGGAUUUGAAUCUGGGGCUUCACUGAGACACACCCUUUGAAAACCAAAUUGAUUUGUGAGCCUCAAAGUUCUUGACUAUUUCCUGUUCUGUCCUGAUUCUGCCUGCCGAGCCCAGUUGCACCAUCUUGACCUGGUCCCGGGAGUGCAGCAUCCUCCUCAGCCGGCUGAAACCAGUGAACACAGCCUGGUCCACGCCGGGCCUGGUUUGCCGCAGUUAGAGGCACAGUGCCAUCUAGUGGACAGGAAAGCCUCUCCAUGCUCUGAGGGACACCGAGAGACGAAACUGGUUUCUUGAAUUGCACAGAGCCAGCCAGUGUCUGCGACUGACUUAUAGAACCUCGUGUCCCAGCCUUGGCGUUCUUGGGACCAUGCCACAGAAAGCAGUGGUUGGCCUUUCCCAUUACUUCCAGACCAUCAUCCCAGCGGGGAUGGAUGGAUCCAUCUUGCCUGAAGCUGACAGCUCACGGAGUCUGCAGCCUGCCCAUCUGGAGAAUGAAAAUCAAAAUCAGAUGUGGUCACAGAGAAGGACUCUCAGCCACCAAUCGUUGACACUCCGGACUCUGGCUUCUUGGUGCACAGCAGAGAGCCCUGCUCUCCUGUAAGAACCUGAAGCCAGCUUCCCUUUCUGCCCACACAUGCUCUCCUGCUCUGAUGGCAAGGUCUUGAGGAAGAAGGAGGAGACUCUCAUCAGGCUAACGAGUCCACCCUCCUCUCUAACUCCCUCUGUUAUCACUUGUCUCAGUCUUUUCGUGUUUGCAACCAUUCUUUCAAAACAACCAAA